rnacentral:rRNA from 1 species
AAAGCUCGUAGUUGAAUUUCGGGAUUGGCGCAUCGGUCGUGCCUCACGGGGUAUGAACUGGUGCAGUCAAUUUCUCACCUUCUGGAGAACCGCGAUGUCCUUAAUUGGAUGCCGUGGGGAACCAGGACCUUUACUUUGAAAAAAUUAGAGUGUUUAAAGCAGGCAUUUUUGCUUGAAUACAUUAGCAUGGAAUAAUAAAAUAGGACGGCAUGGUUCUAUUUUGUUGGUUUCUAGGACCACCGUAAUGAUUAAUAGGGAUAGUUGGGGGCAUUAGUAUUCAAUUGUCAGAGGUGAAAUUCUUGGAUUUAUUGAAGACUAACUACUGCGAAAGCAUUUGCCAAGGAUGUUUUCAUUAAUCAAGAACGAAAGUUAGGGGAUCGAAGACGAUCAGAUACCGUCGUAGUCUUAACCAUAAACUAUGCCGACUAGGAAUCAGACGAUGUUAAUUUUUUAAUGACUCGUUCGGCACCUA